AUAUGACCUACUUAACUCAGUGGUUAGAGUAUCGCUUUCAUAAGGCGAGAGUCAUUGGUUCAAAUCCAAUAGU
rnacentral:tRNA from 1 species